CCUACGGGAGGCAGCAGUGGGGAAUUUUGGACAAUGGGCGCAAGCCUGAUCCAGCCAUGCCGCGUGCGGGAAGAAGGCCUUCGGGUUGUAAACCGCUUUUGUCAGGGAAGAAAUCCUUUGGGUUAAUACCUCGGAGGGAUGACGGUACCUGAAGAAUAAGCACCGGCUAACUACGUGCCAGCAGCCGCGGUAAUACGUAGGGUGCGAGCGUUAAUCGGAAUUACUGGGCGUAAAGCGUGCGCAGGCGGUUAUGCAAGACAGAUGUGAAAUCCCCGGGCUCAACCUGGGAACUGCAUUUGUGACUGCAUAGCUAGAGUACGGUAGAGGGGGAUGGAAUUCCGCGUGUAGCAGUGAAAUGCGUAGAUAUGCGGAGGAACACCGAUGGCGAAGGCAAUCCCCUGGACCUGUACUGACGCUCAUGCACGAAAGCGUGGGGAGCAAACAGGAUUAGAUACCCUGGUAGUCCACGCCCUAAACGAUGUCAACUGGUUGUUGGACGGCUUGCUGUUCAGUACGAAGCUAACGCGUGAAGUUGACCGCCUGGGGAGUAACGGCCGCAAGGUUGAAACUUCAAAUGAAUUGACGGCUUGAGACGNGCGAGGCGACGACGAGGGAGGAGG
rnacentral:rRNA from 1 species